AUAAGACGUGCAUCAUGUGACCCUAGCUAACAGGAAAACUUCUCCCUUGAGAUGGUUCUAUGACUGGAAAAUCUGACAAACACUGUGGCGGAUAUUAAAACUCUUACAAUGGAUAUUAAAGAUCAAUUCCUGUGACUGACUGCACUGCCAGCCAGAGCUGUUGGAAUGUCAAUAGCUGUAAAACCUGGGCUACAUGAAUUAUGCAUGGUGCACCAAAACACUGCUACUUCCAACUGAUUCCAAAAUUAAUCGGACAGUCCCGUUACAGCAACAAUUGUUUAGAAAAUUCUUUAACAGUAAAUGACCUUAUUCUUAGAAGAAAUGAUAGCAGCAACAACACAAAAUGACAAUCAUAUAAACCAUGAAAUUACUAUCAGAGAUGUUCUUCAUACAUGUAUCACCAACUGUUUAGCAGUACCCCAAGGACCUUAGACUACUGUAGCAAGAACCUUACAGUAUUCCCAAUCUUAAUUAAAUACAUCUUAUUCAGGACUGAUGUCAAGGGCAUGUAAUCCCCCAUCACUAAUCCCUCUUCAGUCAAGUGGCAAAAAUUACAGGGAUUACCAUGGAUUGACUAAGACUUUACUAUCAGG